UUAUGGACGAGUUAACGGGGCAUUUGCAGGAAGAGAUCCCGUGCCGUAUGUUGUUUGUAGAUGACAUAAAGGAUUAAAAAUUAGUCAGACUAAAACAAAGCAUAUAGAGUGCAAUUUUAGUAACAAUAGGAUUAGGAAUGCGGAAUUAGUAAAGAUUGCAAGCCAAGAAGCUCCUAAAGAUGACCACUUUUGCGAUCUUGGAUCAAUAAUUCAUGAAAGUGGAGAGAUUGAGAAGGUCGUUACCAUAAUGUCCUUAGGAUGAGUGUGACUAAAAUGAGGAUGUUGAGAUGGAUGAGUGGCAAGACAAGGAUAAAAUUAGAAAUAAAUGCAUUUCAAGGGAAUUUAGGAGUAGCACCAAUAGGUAAUAAGAUGAGGGAAACUUGACUUACAUGGUUUGGUCAUCUGCAAUGGAGACCAAGAACUGCGCCUGUUAAGAGUGAAUUCAUACAAGUUGCAGGCUCGAAAAGGGCAAGGGGAAGACCCAAAAGGAUGUGGUUGGAGGUAGUAAGAAAAGACUUGAUAACCUAUGGCCUAGCUGAAGUUAUGGCCGUUGAUAGAGUAGAAUGGUGGAAAAGGAUUCGUGUAGCUGGCCCCACUUAGUUGGGAUAAGGCUUAGAUGAUGAUGAUGACAGUCAAGGUAUCUUGUGCUUACCCACAAAAAAGAAAUUUGAUUUGGAUCAUUGAACCACAGGUCCCAAUUGUACAAAGUUAUAAUCUAAAUCCGAGAUGGUAUUAUGCAUACAUCUGGCCUAGCAUUGUUUAAUUCAUUUUUUCCCUUCCUACUAAAAGCCAUCAGUGGAAGGGUUAGGAUCUUCAAUGUUAGAUAUUUUCAAAAUAUCAGAAGGAUUUGGGAUUAUUUGUCACAACAAGUUGUCUAGAUGAAUCCAAAUCAUCAAUCCACAAUCUGCCGAUGUAAAUAAAUAGGAUGGAAAAUAGUGUUUUCACCCGUCUCUAUCUAUCAUUUAUAUGGGCUAGGCAAGGGGAGAAAAAAAGCAGAGGAGGAAGAGGGUAAAGCAUUCUCUCUCUUCCCAUAGAUACUAUCACUAACAUUCUCACCAGAUUAUGUUAGAUCCCUAAUCAAAUUACUGUCCGUAUGCGAGUACAUGCAUCAUUUUAUAUGACAUACAUGCUUCAUUAAAGCCAUCCAGCAUCUCAGCACCAAUCCGAGUCUUUAUCAUCUAAGUUUCAGAUCCUAACAAGAUCUUCAACGAAGACCCAUCAUUCUUUUUCUAUAACAUAGAUAGCAAGCCCCUUGAACCACUCCUUUGAGCACGUCAAGGUCAUUUCAUGCAUGAACAGUCUAAUUUUCUUGGAAGAAGCUCCCAGCUUGUACUAAACCUUCAAUCAUGUGAUCCAGCAAUUGAAGGCUCUCCAACCUCCAACAUUGCUUUGUUUGAAACAUUGUUUUGUUUGAAAACGGCUAUCAGGGAUCACUUAUCACCCUCUCACCAGAGAAUACAAGGUACUGUGUGUUCAUUUGCUAGGAAAAUCAGCAGUACCAUAUCAUGUGUGAAAUUUUCACCCUUGGCAGCAAUUCCUGGAGGAAAGGUUGAGAUCCCCCCUCAUAGAGAAUAGAGAUACUUGCACUCAUACGUACACGUGUCCCUGUGAAUGGAGCUUUCAAUUGGAUGAUCACUUGCAGGAUGUAUCAUGGGAUAGGCCUGAGGCAGUAUGAAGUGAAUCGCCUCUACUAUGACGGAUUCAUACUCUCCAUGGAUGUGAAGGAAGAGAACUUAGAGAAGUUCUGAAAAUGCCCCACUAAGAAUGCAAUUUCUACUCUGAAUUUUGUUGAAGGAUUGGCUGCCUUUACUUUGCCAACCAUGCAUCUCAUCAAGGGAUUUGCCAAGCUGGUAUCAGUUAAAGAACAUCCUAUAUGUUUACAAUCGAUCAUUGAUUGUGCCAAGGGUAAGUGGCACACGGUCUAAGGGAGGUGUACCGGCGGGGGCGUUUGGCCAAGCCAAAUCUGAUAUAUGAUGCAAGGAGGAAGCUUCUUGAGCUAGUUGUUUUGGGAUGACAAGGAGUUUCUAUGAGUAGUUUAGAUUCAAGGAGAGUUGUAGCUGGAGAGGCAGAGGAUUAGUUGCAGGAAGAGGAUGGAGCUUGUAAUCAUGUAUUGUAGAGAGUUGGAAGUGGAAAUAUUGUUUACCAUGGGAUUCACAUUGGUUGUUAAUGUGAUUUUUUCAGGUGAAUUAGAGGAGAGGAAAAUUGGUGGGAGAUUAGAGGUUGGAGUUUUGGAAGAGGCUGGGCCAAUGGGGAUUGAAAAUUCGAAUUUGGGGAGAAUGAAAUGGAAUUUUGCAUUGAUAUCGAAUUGAAAAUAUGUAAAGCAUGAGCAAUUAUAUUUGAGUGGAUUAGAGUUGAGGAGAGUUCAAAAUUGUAUGUGGGAAGAGAGUGGGGGUUUGAGAAUUUGAAUUUGGAGAGUCUCAAAAUAGAAUUUUUGUGUGGAUAUUUAGUUGAGAAGUUGUAAUGGGCAUGAGUAAUUGUACUGGGUUUGUCAGACAAUUGAUGUUGAAAAUUCAAAUUGCUUGAUUUUUUGAGUGAAUUAGAGUUCAGAAGAGUUGAAUGGAAGAGCAGAGGUUGGAUUGUGGGAAGUGGAUGGGGAUUGGAAAACAGAAGUUGGGGAAGAUUGAAGACGGAAUUUUGCAUUGAUAUUCUGUCGACAAUCUGUAAUUACUGAGCAAUCGUACUGAAUUUGUCAGACGAUAUUGAGCAUGAAUUAUCUUGGGUUUCCUUUCCAUCAUUGGGAUUUUUUUGCAAGCAAUUCAAUUCUAGGAGAACCGGUGGGAUGGAAGGUUGAUGGCAAGGAGAACUCAGGCAAUUGAAAAUUGAAAUUUCAGACCGAAGAGCAGAGGCGGAAUUUUGGAAUGAGAUGUUGAUUAUUACUAAUGGCAAAAGCUAUUUUGCUGGUUGAGUGUGUAACCAAUGCAGAGUAUGAUAGGUCAUGGGCAAUUUAACAGGCUGACAUUGUUCUUUAUGAGUUAUUCAAAGUUGAGUUAAAGGGUAGGGAGCAGACGGAUUUGGAGUGACUGCUGGAAUUAGUAGAAAUUUGGAAUGUGGAGGGUUUGGCAUGGAUGCCGGGUUUGAGCUUUGGUUGGAAAGAGAAUGCAGUGUUUUCACAAGUGGAUAUGGCGCCUAGAAUGUCACAACUAAAGGCCUCACCCAAUGAGGAGAAUGUAGAAACUCACUUCUGGAAUCCUUUCAUCUGGAGUUGUCAGAUCGUAUGGUAUUGGUGGCAUCCUGAGCAACGAGGAACACAAGCUUAGGACGUUGUUCUCUGGCCAGCUAAGGUUGUCCAGGCAUGCCUCUUGGGGCAGGUUUAUGAUCAUGUUCUCAUGACUUGAUCAAUAGGUCCAUGAUGAGGUUAGGGACCAUGACUUGAGGUACAGCAGGUCAUGUGUAUGGUGGACAUGUCCGCAGUGCGAACUUUGUUUAGUCAUGCGACUCUCCAAGGGAGUUCAAAAGGGCAUUUCACCCCAUUUACUUUCAAAUCCUUUCUCAUAGGGAGGAUUAAGAUUUCAUUUACAAGCCCACUUACUUUCAUUUCAUUUCAUUUGCAUGCAUUUACUUCUAUCCAAACACCCUUAAAAUAUCAUUUACCUUCAUUUACUCCCAAUUCCCUCCAUUUAGGAGGGAACCUUUGCUGGUUCUGUAUCGUUCAUUUAUGGUCCACUCAAGUUACGUCGCAGUUUGUGAGACCUUUACAUGAGUUUGUACAGUAGAAUUUGCAUUGAUGGAGAUUGUUCUUGUAAAAUUGUUUCUUUGUGGCUUCUAUGGUGUGUUGAUCCAAAUAAGCUUCAAGUUAGUAUAUUGGCGUAUACAUGUGACAAUGAUUUUGUUUGUACUGUACAAAAUGCAUAGCAAAUUUAUAUUUAGCUGUCAUGGUUAUGUUUAUGAAAUGUUUUCAAUUGUAUGCCAUUGAAAAAAUAUAUAUUUAUUUUUCAAUUACAGUAUCAACAAAUAAAUCAAAGUUAGAAUAUAGAAGAUUUUAGGCUGCAUGGGACCUUUUCUGGCAAUCAAUGCAAACUAUAAUCUAUAUAUAAACUGUAAUGAAAACACCCAUUUCUGAAGGUGGCUGGUUUAUCAUGUUAGGGUCUGGAUGGUUCUUUCCCAGAGGUUCAGGGAUUUGGCAGAGAAUGUGCAAGAAAUUGAAAAGGAGAGCAUGCCUAACUAAUGUUUUUUUUUUUUUUUUUUUCCUUCUAUUAUUAUUAUUUUGGGUGUGACCUUCAGUAGAGAUUGCUUAGCUAAUAGUUACUUGUCAAAUGGAUAUCAUAGGACUUUUUUCUUUCUUUUUUCCUUUCCUUUUUUUUUUUUCCUUUUUUUUUUUUUUCCUUUUUUUGAUGUUUUUGAUCUAUAUAUCAAGAACCCUAAUAUUCAUCCAUGCCCCAAACAUAGAACACACCCUCACACAGGCACCACAAAUGCACUCAAUUGAUCAUCUUAGCAGCUUAUCUUUGCUGUUUCCCAUAUAGGAUUUUUUUAGUUAACAUAAUUUUGAGAAAUACUUUGACACUACGUAGUGUGUGAUGGACGAUAGCCAGGCACAUAGAUAUUACUUUGAAAUUGCUACCCAGCAUGCAAAUAAUUUAUUAUCAUGAA